AAUGUAGUUUUCUUUCUUUUUUUUUCUUUUUUUUUUGUUGAAUACAAUAAAUUGGCGAAAAUCUUUAUCGCAGAAAUCAUUCGGUUCCACAUGGGAUCGUUAAAAAAAAAAUACAAAUAGUUGUUAAAUUCUGAACUUUGAUGAAUUGAAAUAUACAUAGAAUUACAAAUUGUUGCCAACAUAAAUGGAUGGAUGCUACAGAAGAGCUACAAUGAAUGAUAUCGGGGAAUAUCUCGGAAAAGAAGUCAAGAAAUUAUAUACAAUAUCAGAAGAGUUUUUAUCGCUUCAUUUAUGAUACCGGAAAGGAAACAAAUACAAAACACACACAAAAAAAACAGCAACAGAAAAAGAACAGAAAACAAAAACAAAACAACAACAAAAGCAACGGGAAACGAAAAAGCACAAGUGUACGCGCUAUCCUGAACAGAUUUUAAAAUAUACAUCUACACUACGUGGUAUCUCGCUAACACGAUCAUGGCUGAAACUAUCACCACCACGGAUAAAACAACGUCACCAACGAUGAAAGCUGUACUACUUCACCAGUAAGUUAUUUAAGAAGACAUAAGUGCUUUUCUCAUUUUAAUUGAACUCAACAACUAAGCCAAAAUUUAUUUCGGUACUAUGAAAAAUCCCAACAUGGCCCUACAAUCGGAUACAUGAAGCGAUUAAAACAAUACUGGAACGAAGCUUAUCCCAACUUAAAUACCUUCACGGCGAAACCGUUCCGACAACAAGCAUGUGUUCUAAAAAAAACAAAAAAAGAAAGCACAUCAACUGGUCCUCGAUCCUCCCAAAACACUGAAAAUGGGUCGAAAUCUGCCAGUAGUGACGUAAAAAAUAAUGGAAACAAACCAGCACUCCUGCCAUCGCUAAAUUCGAGUGUCUCCAAAUUUAGCUGACUCAGUAGCGAAGACUGCGGAAUACAUCCGUCACAAAAACAUUUUAAAAUUACAAUUCGCAAAAAAAUUUCUAUUUUCUCGAAGCUUUCGUUGAACAAAAGACUAUUCCCAAUACGAAUAAGAAAAAAAUCCAACCGAUCUAAUAUUUAAGGUUAUCAACAAUGUUGCUGGAGAGCACAUGGAAUCACGUGAAGUUAAUUACUGGAAUAUUAAUACUCAUAUACACAGCUGCUAUUAUUCUUAAAGAACACCUAGGAGAAAUCUACGGUGAAUAAAGUAACGAAAUUACUAAACAGAAACAACCUAGAUGGAAAACAAAACUUAAAGAAAACGUCAACAAUGUGCGCCGGCAUAUUGGAUGGUUAACUACAACAAUAAAAUGUAAGGAGAAAAUGUUAUCCCUCACUACCUUUACCUUAGACAAAAAUUAACGAAACUUUAUGGCAACUUUUCUCACCCAGCUCUUGAGGCAAAGCUGAUCACUUUAAAAAAUGAACUCAGGACGAUGAGCGAGAAACUCUGCUAUCACAUGCGAAUCUAUGAGCGAGCCAGUAUCAAUCGCAAGUUUGUUUCCAACCCACAAAUAUUAUACAAAGAGAUGAGGAAGGAAAAUAUUACCAUUAAGAGAGCUCCCUCCCAAGAAGAUCUACAAUCAUUCUGGUGAAAAAUUUGAAACGAAAAGAGGGAAUAAAUUUGGCAUGCAGCAGUUUCCGGUAGUGUUUAUAGGUUCAUUACUGAUAGUUUUACUCAAUUGUCUAUUGAUCAGUUCAAAAAAAUUGACCGACCUAAAGAAUUAGUGUUA